rnacentral:lncRNA from 1 species
AAAGAGAGAAGCAGCCGCUAGCUAGCAAAGCAAGAUGGGAAUCUUCAGUGGCUUGCGGCGGCGGGGCUUUCAAAUAAGACCGCUUUUGAAUACAUUUUAACAAAAGAGAUUAAGCUUCAUUAAGCAACAUUGCAAGGAAAAUAAGCUGUGUAUUUGUGCUAGGUGCCUUAAAUCUUACUGUAGUGUUUUGGGCACUGCGGUGUUUUUUUUUUCAUAAUCUGUUGAAGAUACUGUAACAAGUAACAUUGCAAGGAAAUAGAAUGAAGCUUGCUUAUUUGGAAACGUGAAUCUCUUUUCGGCGGUGUGUGGAAAGAAAAGAAUGGAAGAAUGAUGUGGACAGAGAGAGAAACAACGGUUAGCUAGCAAGCAAGGAAGAUGUGAAUCUUCAGUGGCUUCUGGCCAGGGCUUUAAAAUACGACCGCUUUUGAAUACAUUUUGACAAAAGAAAUUAAACUCCAUUAAGCAACAUUGCAAGGAAAUAGGCUAUUUAUUAGUCCUAGGUGCCUUAAAUUUUACUCUUAGUAUUUUGGGCACGGCGGUGUUCUUUCACAAUCUGUUGGAGAUAUUGUAUGUAAUAAGCAGCACUGCAAGGAAAUCGAACGAAGCUUGUUUAUUUGAAAAGGUGAAUCUUUUUUCGGUGGUGUGCGUUAAGAAAAGAAUGAAAAAAUGAUGUCGAUGGAGAGAGAAACAACGGCUAGCUAUCAAGCAAGCAAGAUGUGAAUCUUCAGUGGCUUGUGGCAAGGGCUUGGAGAGGACUUUGAAAUAAGACUGCUUUUGAAUACAUUUUGACAAAAGAAAAUAAACUUCAUUAAGCAACAUUGCAAGGAAAACAAGCUGUGUAUUUGUCCUAGGUGCCUUAAAUUUUACUCUUAGUGUUUUGGGCACGGCGGUGUUCUUUCACAAUCUGUUGGAGAUACUGUAUGUAAUAAGCGGCACUGCAAGGAAAUCGAAUGAAGCUUCUUUAUUUGAAAAGGUGAAUCUUUUUUCGGCGGUGUGUGUUAAGAAAAGAAUGAAAGAAU